rnacentral:rRNA from 1 species
AGAGUUUGAUCCUGGCUCAGAUUGAACGCUGGCGGCAGGCCUAACACAUGCAAGUCGAGCGGUAGAGAGAAGCUUGCUUUUCUUGAGAGCGGCGGACGGGUGAGUAAUGCCUAGGAAUCUGCCUAGUGGUGGGGGAUAACGUUCGGAAACGGACGCUAAUACCGCAUACGUCCUACGGGAGAAAGCGGGGGAUCUUCGGACCUCGCGCCAUUAGAUGAGCCUAGGUCGGAUUAGCUAGUUGGUGAGGUAAUGGCUCACCAAGGCGACGAUCCGUAACUGGUCUGAGAGGAUGAUCAGUCACACUGGAACUGAGACACGGUCCAGACUCCUACGGGAGGCAGCAGUGGGGAAUAUUGGACAAUGGGCGAAAGCCUGAUCCAGCCAUGCCGCGUGUGUGAAGAAGGUCUUCGGAUUGUAAAGCACUUUAAGUUGGGAGGAAGGGUAGUAACCUAAUACGUUGCUACUUUGACGUUACCGACAGAAUAAGCACCGGCUAACUUCGUGCCAGCAGCCGCGGUAAUACGGAGGGUGCAAGCGUUGUUCGGAAUUACUGGGCGUAAAGCGCGUGUAGGCGGAUCUGUAAGUUAGAUGUGAAAGCCCUGGGCUCAACCCAGGAAGUGCAUCUAAUACUGCAGGCCUUGAGUCCCGGAGAGGGUUGUGGAAUUCCCGGUGUAGAGGUGAAAUGCGUAGAUAUAGGAAGGAACACCAGUGGCGAAGGCGACUACCUGGACUGAUACUGACACUGAGGUGCGAAAGCGUGGGGAGCAAACAGGAUUAGAUACCCUGGUAGUCC